rnacentral:rRNA from 1 species
CCUACGGGUGGCAGCAGUGAGGAAUAUUGGUCAAUGGACGAGAGUCUGAACCAGCCAAGUAGCGUGAAGGAUGACUGCCCUAUGGGUUGUAAACUUCUUUUAUAAAGGAAUAAAACGAGGCACGUGUGCCUUUUUGCAUGUACUUUAUGAAUAAGGAUCGGCUAACUCCGUGCCAGCAGCCGCGGUAAUACGGAGGAUCCGAGCGUUAUCCGGAUUUAUUGGGUUUAAAGGGUGCGUAGAUGGGUUGUUAAGUCAGUUGUGAAAGGUUGCGGCUCAACCGUAAGAUUGCAAUUGAUACUGGCAGUCUUGAGUACUGUUGAGGUAGGCGGAAUUCGUGGUGUAGCGGUGAAAUGCUUAGAUAUCGCGAAGAACCCCGAUUGCGAAGGCAGCUUACUAAACUGUGACUGACAUUGAGGCUCGAAAGUGUGGGUAUCAAACAGGAUUAGAUACCCGAGUAGUC